GAUGAAGAACGCAGUGAAAUGCGAUAAGUAAUGUGAAUUGCAGAAUUCAGUGAAUCAUCGAAUCUUUGAACGCACAUUGCGCCCGCCAGUAUUCUGGCGGGCAUGCCUGUUCGAGCGUCAUUUCAACCAUCAAGCCCCCGGCUUGUGUUGGGGACCUGCGGCUGCCGCAGGCCCUGAAAACCAGUGGCGGGCUCGCUGUCACACCGAGCGUAGUAGAUUUUCAUCUCGCUCAGGGCGUGCUGCGGGUUCCGGCCGUAAAAAGCCUUAUUUACCCAAGGUUGACCUCGGAUCAGGUAGGAAGACCCGCUGAACUUAAGCAUAUCAAUAAGUGGAGGA
rnacentral:misc_RNA from 1 species